rnacentral:rRNA from 1 species
CACGCCCUAAACUAUGUCAACUAGGUGUUGGGUGGGUAAAACCAUUUAGUACCGUAGCUAACGCGUGAAGUUGACCGCCUGGGGAGUACGGCCGCAAGGUUAAAACUCAAAGGAAUUGAC